UACGUAGGGUGCAAGCGUUGUCCGGAAUUAUUGGGCGUAAAGAGCUCGUAGGCGGUCUGUUGCGUCCGCUGUGAAAACCCGGGGCUUAACCCCUGGCUUGCAGUGGAUACGGACAGACUAGAGGUAGGUAGGGGAGAAUGGAAUUCCCGGUGUAGCGGUGAAAUGCGUAGAUAUCAGGAGGAACACCGGCGGUGUAGACGGCUUUCUGGACCAUUACUGACGCUGAGAUACGAAAGCGUGGGUAGCAAACAGG
rnacentral:rRNA from 1 species